UCCGCUCGCGCAGCUCGUUGGCAGCCAGACCACACGCUCCACCCCAGCUGCUUCUUUACCACACUCUCACCUGCAACUUGAUCCCCACCAUCGCCCAUCGCUUCCUGCGCGUCGCCUCCCCCCAGCAGAGCUGCCCGGCCUCACUCCCUCCAUGGCGCGGCACUCCUGCACUCCUGCAGUCCCCCGCCUCCCAUCUCCAUCCCUGCUCCCCCUCUGCCCGCAUCCGGCCGCCCCUGCAUCACACAGAGUCGACGGCGAGUCCAGCACUCCGCCCGAAUCCCGCAUCCAUGGUGACCCACCGCUGUCGCCCAGCACCACCGUGUGCGGCACGCCUCCGGUCAUGAUCCACUCACCCCCGCCGCCGGCCGACUUGUCGUGUAGCCAUGGUGGCUGGCGGGUUCACGGUAAGGGGUUGGAGGAAGCCAGAUCUUGUCCCCCAUGCGGUUGCUUUUUUUCUUCAAGACUAUCCACUUCCGUAAGGGCUAAGUGUUGGGCUCCUCACCAUGUCCGGUAGAUCCAACAGCCUGAUGGUUCAGAUUUCAGAGCAGCAACGAAACAUCAAGCAGCAGUGUUUUGAGGCAGGAGGUUCAUGCAGGUUGCACGUAGCAAGCUCGUACUCGAGAGCUUGGUCAUUGCUUGCUAGAUGGAUACGGUGUAAUAACCAGCGCUCCUUUAAACGGCUUUAAACGGUCGCCUUCUUCUACAUCGAGCAAAGGAGAAGGAAGCCGAGAACAACUGACCAGUGCUCUUCAAUCCAUUUUCUAGUACGUACUAACUCUUCACGCUGCCGAAGUGAUGUCCAGGACCAGGAUCUUUGACCCUGCUAGGGCCCUGCUCCUCGCCGUGUGGAUGGUGCGCUUCAACAAGCUCAACGUCGCCAAGGCCGUCUUACCAGACAACUAUAGUAUGGUCGAGUUCCAGGCCAAGCAGGCACGGCUCUUGCUGCUGCCGGAGCUUCAGAUCAUAGCAAGUAAACUUCAGAUCAGUGACAUAGAUGGAAUAUAAGCAACUUUUUAUUUGUUUCUUUGCUCCGUGAUUGUUGCGUGUAAGUAUGUCAUCUGCUUGAUUGAAUAUAAGCAGCGCCGGUAUAAUGGAAGGUUGUGUCUUGCUUGUACUA